AUUGAACGCUGGCGGCAGGCUUAACACAUGCAAGUCGAGCGAGCGGCGGACGGGUGAGUAAUGUAUGGGAAACUGCCUGAUGGAGGGGGAUAACUACUGGAAACGGUAGCUAAUACCGCAUACCAUCAGAUGUGCCCAGAUGGGAUUAGCUAGUAGGUGUGGUAAUGGCGCACCUAGGCGAAGAUCCCUAGCUGGUCUGAGAGGAGUACCAGCCACACUGGAACUGAGACACGGUCCAGACUCCUACGGGAGGCAGCAGUGGGGAAUAUUGCACAAUGGGCGCAAGCCUUAUGCAGCCAUGCCGCGUGUGUGAAGAAGGCCUUCGGGUUGUAAAGCACUUUCAGCGAGGAGGCGUUACUCGCAGAAGAAGCACCGGCGAACUCCGUGCCAGCAGCCGCGGUAAUUC
rnacentral:rRNA from 1 species